GGCGGAGACUGGCAAAAAAUAUCUACACCUUCCUGAUUUCCCUGUCUCGUCGUUCCCACCUCCAGCGCCGCCAUGCCGACUCCGACCCCGCCUUCCACAGCUGCGGACGCCGCCGCCCUUCCUCUUCGCAGAUGACGUCUCCCACGCCCGUCGCCCUCCUUAGCCGCGUACGAAGCCUCCAACAGACGCUGCAUCCGCCUCCCUCACCCGCGGCCGCUGCCGUCCGUCGCAGCCUGGGACGCCACCGCCCUCCCUCGCCACCGACGACGUCGUUCCGGAUGCCGCCCCCGCGUUCCAUCGCGGAUGACGCCGCCGUCGCGCACCGUCCGUCCGUCGCCGCCAUCAUAUCCUCCGCUCUCUCGCGAAGCCACCACCGCGCGCCGGCGCCGCCGUGUACCGUCAACAUCCACGCAUGGCCGACAACUAGGGCUUUCGCAAACCGUGGUACUACACUAGGAAGGAGUUCAGUUGGAACUUCAAAAAUUGAGAGAAAGCUUUAGAAAAACAGAGGAAGCUUUAUGGGAAGACAAUUUACUUAUUUGGAAGCACUGAGCGUAAGUAUGCCUACUCUUACGAGCUCAUAAAAUGAUAGCAAGAUGGUACGUUUAAGCUAGCUAUCCUAAUUCCAGCCAUACUUCUCUGGAUUGUGAUAUUCAUGAUGGCAUUUUGGUAACUGAUUGUUGCUUGGAGUCUUGCAAAGGGCUGUAGAUGCAUCGACGACCGGCACAGGGGCUAUGGACAGUGGUGGACUGGUGGUCCUGCUGGAGCUUCAUUUCUUGUCAGUUAAAACUAGCUGGCUCUUAAUUUCCCUAAAUAUGGCACCAGAGUGAGCAAGGAUAUAUGUCUUCGAUGAGAUAGUUUGCUUCACCACCGAUGCAUAAGUUUCAGUAAUCAACCUGGCUUGCUCAGGUGCAUACAACUUUGGUUUAUAGCUAAUAGGAGUAUUGUAGCUUCGCUAGCGUGCCCAGUUCGUCCUCCACUGGAUGUAACAACACUCCCAUUCUGAUCACUGACAAUAAGUCUCCAGCUAUCUCUCUUGUUGAUAUUAUCUUGAGCUUUUAUUUUAGAACCGAAUGAAAAAAAAAGGUUGAAUCAACAAUUCAUAGACAUUGAUGAAAUUUCAGUGGAAUACACAUUCAGAAAUUCCAGAAGUUCCAUUAGACAGGCUGGAGUAGAUAUACUACGUACAUCAAAUUCAUUUAUCCCAGGUCAUAACAAUAUAAUACAAUUCAGCAAGUUGCACAGCAACAAACAGUGAAGCUGUCUCCAGGAAAAUAUAAAAUUCAACACUAUUCGUUGCACAAAUAGGACUAGUGUCUCCAGGAAACUACAAAAUUCAGCAAUUCAAUCAUCUAGGUAACACUUGAGGAAGAACCCAUCUAAAAAAACAUUUUCUUUUCUAAAACCACACCACAAAAUAUACACGGACUAUUCUCACCUCACAAUUACUCAUUAUUUGGGCCCACUAAAUAAAGCCUAACAACUACCAUUAGUCUGCUAA